GUUUGAUCCUGGCUCAGAUUGAACGCUGGUGGCAUGCUUAACACAUGCAAGUCGAACGGUAACAGGAGAAGCUUGCUUCUUGCUGACGAGUGGCGGACGGGUGAGUAACGCGUAGGAAUCUGCCCAUCUGUGGGGGAUACCAGUUGGAAACGACUGUUAAUACCGCAUAAUAUCUGCGGAUUAAAGGUGGCCUUUGUGCUGCCGCAGAUGGAUGAGCCUGCGUUAGAUUAGCUUGUUGGUGGGGUAAGGGCCUACCAAGGCUACGAUCUAUAGCUGAUUUGAGAGGAUGAUCAGCCACAUUGGGACUGAGACACGGCCCAAACUCCUACGGGAGGCAGCAGUGGGGAAUAUUGGACAAUGGAGGAAACUCUGAUCCAGCAAUGCCAUGUGUGUGAAGAAGGCUCUAGGGUUGUAAAGCACUUUAGUUGGGGAGGAAAGCCUUAUAGUUAAUAGCUAUGAGGAAGGACGUUACCCAAAGAAUAAGGACCGGCUAACUCCGUGCCAGCAGCCGCGGUAAUACGGGGGGUCCGAGCGUUAAUCGGAAUUACUGGGCGUAAAGGGUCUGUAGGUGGUUUGUUAAGUCAGAUGUGAAAGCCCAGGGCUCAACCUUGGAACUGCAUUUGAUACUGGCAAACUAGAGUAUAGUAGAGGAAUGGGGAAUUUCUGGUGUAGCGGUGAAAUGCGUAGAGAUCAGAAGGAACACCAAUGGCGAAGGCAACAUUCUGGACUAAUACUGACACUGAGGGACGAAAGCGUGGGGAUCAAACAGGAUUAGAUACCCUGGUAGUCCACGCUGUAAACGAUGAGUACUAGCUGUUGGAGUCGGUGUAAAGGCUCUAGUGGCGUAGCUAACGCGUUAAGUACUCCGCCUGGGGACUACGGCCGCAAGGCUAAAACUCAAAGGAAUUGACGGGGACCCGCACAAGCGGUGGAGCAUGUGGUUUAAUUCGAUGCAACGCGAAGAACCUUACCUGGUCUUGACAUCCUGCGAACUUUCUGGAGAUAGAUUGGUGCCUUCGGGAACGCAGUGACAGGUGCUGCACGGCUGUCGUCAGCUCGUGUUGUGAAAUGUUGGGUUAAGUCCCGCAACGAGCGCAACCCCUAUUGAUAGUUACCAUCAUUAAGUUGGGUACUCUAUUGAGACUGCCGCUGACAAGGCGGAGGAAGGUGGGGACGACGUCGAGUCAUCAUGGCCCUUACGACCAGGGCUACACACGUGCUACAAUGGGUAUUACAGAGGGCAGCGAAGGAGCGAUCUGGAGCGAAACUCAGAAAGGUACUCUUAGUCCGGAUUGCAGUCUGCAACUCGACUGCAUGAAGUCGGAAUCGCUAGUAAUCGCAGGUCAGAAUACUGCGGUAAAUACGUUCCCGGGUCUUGUACACACCGCCCGUCACACCAUGGGAGUGGGUUGCUCCAGAAGUAGAUAGCUUAACGAAUGGGCGUUUACCACGGAGUGAUUCAUGACUGGGGUGAAGUCGUAACAAGGUA
rnacentral:rRNA from 2 species